GUGACCCCUCCCAGGGCUUCUCCUGUUCUGUGGAGAUGCUCCUCAGUGUGGAGAAGCCUGUGGAACACUGCCUCCUCCCCAGGAACCCUUCCCCGUCCCAGCAAAGUAUCUGCUCCUUCUUCAGAAGUGUCCCCACCGCAUGCUGCGGUGUCUCCAUGGACACCUGUUUGCUUCUCCCCAGCUCCUGGCAGAGUGUCUGGAAGAACCUAGAUUUCCAGAGACAGCUGACGACACCUGAGCAAAGCCGAGAGCAGCUCAAGGGCCUCUGCUGACCUCACACACGCUGGCCACCAGGCUUCCUAAAGGAGGGCACGGCCAACAGCUCAAUGGAUGACAGCUGGAAGAGCUCUGGGGACCUGCUUCCUAGUGGGAAGGAGGAAGCCAUCUCUCUGUGCCAUGUAUUCCUACCACUUCUGAGCCCCUCCAGCUUCUGGGGUGAGGGGGAGGACCUCUUUCCUGCCAAGACCGAGGGUCCUGGUGAGUGCGGCUUGAACACAAUAAAUCAAUAGGACAUA